rnacentral:rRNA from 1 species
UGAAGCAAUAUCGAUUUGAUCGAAUAAAAUUCUGGAUAAAGUAAUGAUAAUGACAUUGUUUAUCCNUGAGUCUUGACCAAGUUACGUGCCAGCAGUCGCGGUAAUACGUANAANACUAGUGUUAUUCAUCUUUAANGGGUUUAAAGGGUACCUAGACGGCANACUAAGCCUUAACUGGAACUGGUAUGCUAGAGUUACUUGUAAGGAAGUUUUAAAGUACUAGAGGAGUAGAGAUAAAAUUCAAUCAUACCUUUUUUCUUAGGAAAAACUUCGGCACAGGUAUAGGUGAAAACAUCUUCUUAUGGGAUAACUGACGUUGAGGGACGAAGGCUUUUUAUAAUGAACAGGAUUAGAUACCCUGGUAGUCGAAGCAGUAAACGCUGAGUGUCAUAGAUUAGAUUUAAAUUUAUUCUAUAAAUGAAAGUGUAAGCACUCCACCUCAAGAGUAAUUUGNCAACAUUGGAACUGAAAUCAUUAGACCGUAUCUGAAACCAGUAGUGAAGUAUGUUAUUUAAUUUGAUAAUCCGCAAAAACCUUACCACAACUUGAANACUUACAUAUUUACUUAUCUACCUGUAAUGUGCAGUUUCUUGCUUACGCAGCUACAUGUGCAGUUUCUUGCUUCC